GAUGAAGAACGUAGCGAAAUGCGAUAAGUAGUGUGAAUUGCAGAAUUCAGUGAAUCAUCGAAUCUUUGAACGCACAUUGCGCCUCCUGGUAUUCCGGGAGGCAUGCCUGUUCGAGCGUCAUCAAAAACCUCAACCCAUGAUUUAUUGUGAGUUGGUUCUGCAUUGGACUCCUUGUGGGUCCUUUGCGAAAUCCAAUGGCGAAGAGCCACGCAACCAAAGCGUAGUAUAACUAUUUCGUUAUGGAAGCGUGGGUGCCUCUGCCGUAACCCCCAAUUUCUUAGUUUUUGACCUCGGAUCAGGUAGGGAUACCCGCUGAACUUAAGCAUAUCAAUAAGCGGAGGA
rnacentral:misc_RNA from 1 species